rnacentral:rRNA from 1 species
UAGAGUUUGAUCCUGGCUCAGGACGAACGCUGGCGGCGUGCUUAACACAUGCAAGUCGAACGGUGAAAGCGGAGCUUGCUCCGCUGGAUCAGUGGCGAACGGGUGAGUAACACGUGGGCAACCUGCCCCAGACUUCGGGAUAACUCUUCGAAAGAGGCGCUAAUACCGGAUAUGAACUCUGCAGGCAUCUGCGGAGUUGGAAAGUUUUUCGGUCUGGGAUGGGCCCGCGGCCUAUCAGCUAGUUGGUGAGGUAGUGGCUCACCAAGGCGACGACGGGUAGCCGGCCUGAGAGGGCGACCGGCCACACUGGGACUGAGACACGGCCCAGACUCCUACGGGAGGCAGCAGUGGGGAAUAUUGCGCAAUGAGCGAAAGCUUGACGCAGCGACACCGCGUGUGGGAUGAAGGUUCUAGGAUUGUAAACCACUUUCAGGAGGGAAGAAAAUGACGGUACCUCCACAAGAAGCCCCGGCCAACUACGUGCCAGCAGCCGCGGUAAUACGUAGGGGGCGAGCGUUGUCCGGAUUUAUUGGGCGUAAAGAGCUCGUAGGCGGUUCAACAAGUCGGUCGUGAAAGUUCAGGGCUCAACCCUGAAAUGUCGAUCGAUACUGUUGUGACUAGGAUAUGGUAGAGGUGAGUGGAAUUCCGAGUGUAGCGGUGAAAUGCGUAGAUAUUCGGAGGAACACCAAUUGCGAAGGCAGCUCACUGGGCCACUAUCGACGCUGAGGAGCGAAAGCUAGGGGAGCAAACAGGGAUUAGAUACCCUGGUAGUCCUAGCUGUAAACGAUGGAUACUAGAUGUAG